UCUCGUGUGCAGAUCCAAAUCGAGUGAUUCAAAGUUCCACAAAUAGGAUUGAAAAGAUCUACAACUUGGCGUUGGUCUCAUCCUCAAAUUCGUUACAUAUUUGCAGUGGUAAAUAAAGUUCUGUAAGCAUGCAGAAUCACUGUUUGUUAGAUUUGUUCCGUUUUACAAAACCUUUUUGAGCAAACUCAACUGUGGGUGAAAGCACUCUUUAGUACCUUCAUUUUGGCGUUGGUUUCACUUCAAAUGACCUCCUGAAAUUGAAAUGGUUCACAGAUCAAGAUCUGGUCAGAUCUGACUUUGUCGAAUUAAACCAGGAGCUUGGAAACGAAUUUUUGAAUGAAACCAAUUGGGGGAUAAUUGGUUUAUACCAUGGUGAUAACCGAGAGAGGCAAUUGCUAUGUUGUGAUGCACUCAUGCCUCUACUAGAUGCGAACAAUUCCGGAGAAGAAGAAGAAGUGGAAUCGGACGAGGAUUUUAUUUAUAUAUGUUGUUGGAAUUCUUAUAUUGAUGGAGUUGAAGAAGUACAUGGACAAAUAAGCCAAGGCAAGCCAUCUUUUGAUCUCUGACUUGGUGUCUAGUUGGAUGUCAUUUGUUGAUGCCCAAAGCACCUUAUUUCUAUGUGUGUUAUUCUCUCUAUUUAUGUCAUCUAUGUGUGAUUGCAAGUGGGGUACUCCCUAGUGGUGAUACUCCACUAUUGUCUUUGUGAUUAUGGGAUGCAUGGUAUCAUGGCCGUGCUAUUCCACUUGGUCAUCUUGUAUGCUCAACUUGAGCAUCUUCCCUCUCAAGAUAGUAACUUACACCACACUCACCACUUUUGUAAUUA